AAAAAAAUCAAUUUUUAAAGUAAAUUGUAUUCCUUGGGUAAUCUACACAUGGUUAUUUCAAACUGAGACUGUGUGUGUGUGUGUGUGUGUGUUUACUGGGGUGUAGCAUGAGGCGAGUGUGUAAGACAGACAGCAAAAGAGCUACAGAGGCCACUCUAAGCAGCAGCAUGAUGUGACCACUAAAUAUUUACACCUGAAACUAAGUACAGAAUGUUGUAUCUCUACAGAUUCCAAAGGUUUUCCUAAAAAUAUAACCAACAACAGGGGGAACAAAAGAUACCCAGAUUCCAAGGACCUCACGAUGGUGCUGAAAACCUAUGACAGCAGCUUCCUGGACUUUCUCAGAAGGUGUUUGGUAUGGGAACCUUCUCUUCGCAUGACCCCGGACCAGGCCCUCAAGCAUGCUUGGAUUCAUCAGUCUCAGAACCUCAAGCCACAGCCCAGGCCCCAGACCCUAAGGAAAUCCAAUUCCUUUUUCUCCUCUGAGACAAGGAAGAACAAGGUUCAAGGCUGUCAUCACUCGAGGAAAAAAGCAGAUGAGAUCACCAAAGAGACUACAGAGAAAACAAAAGAUGGCCCCAUGAAGCAUGUUCAGCAU
rnacentral:sRNA from 1 species